rnacentral:lncRNA from 1 species
UGACGAGUAAUGGAUAGUUUCUUAAUACUGAGAAGUUGGUAUGGAGUGGUAGAUUGUGAGAGUCGUAAGCCGAGAUAUUGAAUUCUAUGUGAUGAAUUGAGAAACUGAAUAUAAUAGGUAAGCUUAAGAUCAAUAAUUGAAUAUAUAUAAAUCAUAAAGAGAGUAAGUAGGAGAUGAACGGAUAAGAAUAUGGAAGUAUUAU